GACGUAGGGCGCGAGCGUUGUCCGGAUUUAUUGGGCGUAAAGAGCUCGUAGGCGGCUCAUUGCGUCAACCGUGAAAACCAGCAGCUAACUGUUGGCUUGCGGUUGAUACGGGUGGGCUGGAGUUCGGUAGGGGAGACUGGAAUUCCUGGUGUAGCGGUGAAAUGCGCAGAUAUCAGGAGGAACACCGGUGGCGAAGGCGGGUCUCUGGGCCGAUACUGACGCUGAGGAGCGAAAGCGUGGGGAGCGAACAGG
rnacentral:rRNA from 1 species